GAUGAACGCUGGCGGCGUGCCUAAUACAUGCAAGUCGAGCGAAUGGAUUGAGAGCUUGCUCUUAUGAAGUUAGCGGCGGACGGGUGAGUAACACGUGGGUAACCUGCCCAUAAGACUGGGAUAACUCCGGGAAACCGGGGCUAAUACCGGAUAACAUUUUGAACCGCAUGGUUCGAAAUUGAAAGGCGGCUUCGGCUGUCACUUAUGGAUGGACCCGCGUCGCAUUAGCUAGUUGGUGAGGUAACGGCUCACCAAGGCAACGAUGCGUAGCCGACCUAAGAGGGUGAUCGGCCACACUGGGACUGAGACACGGCCCAGACUCCUACGGGAGGCAGCAGUAGGGAAUCUUCCGCAAUGGACGAAAGUCUGACGGAGCAACGCCGCGUGAGUGAUGAAGGCUUUCGGGUCGUAAAACUCUGUUGUUAGGGAAGAACAAGUGCUAGUUGAAUAAGCUGACACCUUGACGGUACCUAACCAGAAAGCCACGGCUAACUACGUGCCAGCAGCCGCAGUAA
rnacentral:rRNA from 1 species